rnacentral:rRNA from 1 species
AGAGUUUGAUCAUGGCUCAGGACGAACGCUGGCGGCGUGCCUAAUACAUGCAAGUCGUACGCUUCUUUUUCCACCGGAGCUUGCUCCACCGGAAAAAGAAGAGUGGCGAACGGGUGAGUAACACGUGGGUAACCUGCCCAUCAGAAGGGGAUAACACUUGGAAACAGGUGCUAAUACCGUAUAACAAUCGAAACCGCAUGGUUUUGAUUUGAAAGGCGCUUUCGGGUGUCGCUGAUGGAUGGACCCGCGGUGCAUUAGCUAGUUGGUGAGGUAACGGCUCACCAAGGCCACGAUGCAUAGCCGACCUGAGAGGGUGAUCGGCCACAUUGGGACUGAGACACGGCCCAAACUCCUACGGGAGGCAGCAGUAGGGAAUCUUCGGCAAUGGACGAAAGUCUGACCGAGCAACGCCGCGUGAGUGAAGAAGGUUUUCGGAUCGUAAAACUCUGUUGUUAGAGAAGAACAAGGAUGAGAGUAACUGUUCAUCCCUUGACGGUAUCUAACCAGAAAGCCACGGCUAACUACGUGCCAGCAGCCGCGGUAAUACGUAGGUGGCAAGCGUUGUCCGGAUUUAUUGGGCGUAAAGCGAGCGCAGGCGGUUUCUUAAGUCUGAUGUGAAAGCCCCCGGCUCAACCGGGGAGGGUCAUUGGAAACUGGGAGACUUGAGUGCAGAAGAGGAGAGUGGAAUUCCAUGUGUAGCGGUGAAAUGCGUAGAUAUAUGGAGGAACACCAGUGGCGAAGGCGGCUCUCUGGUCUGUAACUGACGCUGAGGCUCGAAAGCGUGGGGAGCAAACAGGAUUAGAUACCCUGGUAGUCCACGCCGUAAACGAUGAGUGCUAAGUGUUGGAGGGUUUCCGCCCUUCAGUGCUGCAGCUAACGCAUUAAGCACUCCGCCUGGGGAGUACGACCGCAAGGUUGAAACUCAAAGGAAUUGACGGGGGCCCGCACAAGCGGUGGAGCAUGUGGUUUAAUUCGAAGCAACGCGAAGAACCUUACCAGGUCUUGACAUCCUUUGACCACUCUAGAGAUAGAGCUUCCCCUUCGGGGGCAAAGUGACAGGUGGUGCAUGGUUGUCGUCAGCUCGUGUCGUGAGAUGUUGGGUUAAGUCCCGCAACGAGCGCAACCCUUAUUGUUAGUUGCCAUCAUUCAGUUGGGCACUCUAGCAAGACUGCCGGUGACAAACCGGAGGAAGGUGGGGAUGACGUCAAAUCAUCAUGCCCCUUAUGACCUGGGCUACACACGUGCUACAAUGGGAAGUACAACGAGUCGCGAAGUCGCGAGGCUAAGCUAAUCUCUUAAAGCUUCUCUCAGUUCGGAUUGUAGGCUGCAACUCGCCUACAUGAAGCCGGAAUCGCUAGUAAUCGCGGAUCAGCACGCCGCGGUGAAUACGUUCCCGGGCCUUGUACACACCGCCCGUCACACCACGAGAGUUUGUAACACCCGAAGUCGGUGAGGUAACCUUUUGGAGCCAGCCGCCUAAGGUGGGAUAGAUGAUUGGGGUGAAGUCGUAACAAGGGUAGCCGUAA